rnacentral:rRNA from 1 species
AUUGAACGCUGGCGGCAGGCCUAACACAUGCAAGUCGAACGAGUGGCGGACGGGUGAGUAAUGUCUGGGAAACUGCCUGAUGGAGGGGGAAAACUACUGGAAACGGUAGCUAAUAACGCAUACUAUCGGAUGUGCCCAGAUGGGAUUAGCUAGUAGGUGGGGUAAAGGCUCACCUAGGCGACGAUCCCUAGCUGGUCCGAGAGGAUGACCAGCCACACUGGAACGGAGACACGGUCCGGCCUCCUACGGGAGGCAGCAGUGGGGAUUAUUGGACAAUGGGCGCAAUCCUGAUGCACCCAUGCCGGGUGUAUGAAGAAGGCCUUCGGGUGGUAAGGUACUUUCAUCGGGGAGGCGUUACCCGCAGAAGAAGCACCGGCUAACUCCGUGCCAGCAGCCGCGGUAAUUC